GUUACAAUGAUGUCGCCAUAGAAAAGUUCUCUGGUGGCAUUAAAUCUAAGGAUUUACGAAUCAUUCCAGCGACGUUUGUUGGUAAACUGUGUUUACGAAUUGAAGUGUGUGGUGGAGACUUGCUCCCAGACAAACCAACACAUCUUACUGCCACCAAAGUCUCAUCAAGAUACCUCAAGAUAUCCUGGAAAGAUCCCAAAAACACUGGUGUUAAACUUGGCACAAAUCUAACGAACUUUCUGACUAAAGUUCGAUUAAUAGUGCUGAAGGAUACUGUUGUUAUUUUUAAGAAAACUUGGAAGGCAACUCUACUCAAACCUUACAAAUUAGAGAAUCUUGUCCCUUACACAACGUAAGCGGUAAAAGUAACCGCUGGCAACUCUGAAGGCUUUGGUAGAUCAACUACAGCCAGUUUUAGAACUGUUGAAGAUGUUCCUGAAGGUCCACCUGUAAAUAUUAAGUUUGUCGCCAUCAGCAGUUUAUCGUUAUCAGUCACGUGGGAGCCACCAUAUGUAAACAAAA